rnacentral:rRNA from 1 species
GUAGAGUAGUUUCGAUCCGUGCACGAGGACACGCUGGCGGCGUGCUUAACACAUGCAAGUCGAACGCUGAAGCUCCUAGCUUGCUGGGGGUGGAUGAGUGGCGAACGGGUGAGUAACACGUGAGUAACCUGCCUUUCACUCUGGGAUAAGCGCUGGAAACGGUGUCUAAUACUGGAUAUGAGCACUGGUCGCAUGGCCUGGUGUUGGAAAGAUUUAUCGGUGAUUGAUGGACUCACGGCCUAUCAGCUUGUUGGUGGGGUAAUGGCCUACCAAGGCGACGACGGGUAGCCGGCCUGAGAGGGUGACCGGCCACACUGGGACUGAGACACGGCCCAGACUCCUACGGGAGGCAGCAGUGGGGAAUAUUGCACAAUGGGCGCAAGCCUGAUGCAGCAACGCCGCGUGAGGGAUGACGGCCUUCGGGUUGUAAACCUCUUUUGUCAGGGAAGAAGCCUUUGGGUGACGGUACCUGGAGAAAAAGCACCGGCUAACUACGUG